GACGAACGCUGGCGGCGCGCCUAACACAUGCAAGUCGAACGAGCGAGAGAGAGCUUGCUUUCUCGAGCGAGUGGCGAACGGGUGAGUAACGCGUGAGGAAUCUGCCUCAAAGAGGGGGACAACAGUUGGAAACGACUGCUAAUACCGCAUAAGCCCACGGUGCCGCAUGGCACAGAGGGAAAAGGAGCAAUCCGCUUUGAGAUGGCCUCGCGUCCGAUUAGCUAGUUGGUGAGGUAAUGGCCCACCAAGGCGACGAUCGGUAGCCGGACUGAGAGGUUGAACGGCCACAUUGGGACUGAGACACGGCCCAGACUCCUACGGGAGGCAGCAGUGGGGAAUAUUGCACAAUGGGGGAAACCCUGAUGCAGCGACGCCGCGUGGAGGAAGAAGGUCUUCGGAUUGUAAACUCCUGUUGUUGGGGAAGAUAAUGACGGUACCCAACAAGGAAGUGACGGCUAACUACGUG
rnacentral:rRNA from 1 species